UAUCUGGUUGAUCCUGCCAGUAGUCAUAUGCUUGUCUCAAAGAUUAAGCCAUGCAUGUCUAAGUAUAAGCAAUUUAUACAGUGAAACUGCGAAUGGCUCAUUAAAUCAGUUAUCGUUUAUUUGAUAGUUUCUUUACUACAUGGAAUACCUGUGGUAAUUCUAGAGCUAAUACAUGCUUAAAAUCCCAACUUACGAAGGGAUGUAUUUAUUAGAUAAAAAAUCAAUGUCUUCGGACUUCUGAUGAUUCAUAAUAACUUUUCGAAUCGCAUGGCUUUAUGCUGGCGAUGGUUCAUUCAAAUUUCUGCCCUAUCAACUUUUGAUGGUAGGAUAGUGGCCUACCAUGGUUUCAACGGGUAACGGGGAAUAAGGGUUCGAUUCCGGAGAGGGAGCCUGAGAAACGGCUACCACAUCCAAGGAAGGCAGCAGGCGCGCAAAUUACCCAAUCCUAAUUCAGGGAGGUAGUGACAAUAAAUAACGAUACAGGGCUUUAUGUCUUGUAAUUGGAAUGAGUACAAUUUAAAUACCUUAACGAGGAACAAUUGGAGGGCAAGUCUGGUGCCAGCAGCCGCGGUAAUUCCAGCUCCAAUAGCGUAUAUUAAAGUUGUUGCAGUUAAAAAGCUCGUAGUUGAACUUUGGGCUUGGAGAAUCGGUCCAACUUUGUUGUGUACUGUCUUCUCCAGGUCUUUCCUUCUGGUUCUCAUUUGGGGUUUACUCCAUUUGUUGAUCCAGGAUUUUUACUUUGAAAAAAUUAGAGUGUUCAAAGCAGGCGUUUGCUCGAAUAUAUUAGCAUGGAAUAAUAGAAUAGGACGAUUGGUUCUAUUUUGUUGGUUUCUAGGACCAUCGUAAUGAUUAAUAGGGACGGUCGGGGGGCAUCAGUAUUCAGUUGUCAGAGGUGAAAUUCUUGGAUUUA
rnacentral:ncRNA from 1 species